ACAGUGUCAGUUUGGCCAGGACUAGGGGGAGGGUCCUGGCAUGUGAGACUUUCAGAUUUAACACGGGGACAGUCCCAGGCAAACCUGGAUGAAUUGGUCACCCUAUUUACAGGUCUCAUUCAAGAUUUUGGACCUUAGCAGCAGAACAGUGUGGCAGCCAUAAUCGAGGCAGCCAUAGUGAGGAUGGAGAGAAAUGGACGGAUUCAAGAAAUAUUUAGAUGUAAACUGACAGAACUUGAGGACAAAAUGAUAGCCAGGGAAGGGGUUAGGGCAGGGGGAAUAAUCUAGAAUGAACUGCAGAUUUUUCUGGCUUUGGAAACCAGAGAGAUGUGCAUUAAAAAGGAAUGAAUACAGAAAGAGACGACACUAAAGUUGUUCUUUGACAUUAACUGUCAAGUGAGAGCUCGAGGUUUGAUCACAUUUGAGCACACAGGAAUAAAUUUUGGUACCCUCCAUCUCUCCCACCCCUCGGAGUGAAAUAGAAAGUGGGCCUGGUAGAAACCCAAAUGUGCUCCAGACAGAAUUUGGAAUUCAGUUUGAACCUGUAAAGAAGUGGAGUGUUCCUCACCCUGAUAAGGGGACAAGACAACAUAAUAAGUAAAAGGAACACCGGAAGGCUUUGUUACAGACCGCAUUCAGCCUGCAUUCAGAUGGCAUGUCAAGAACUCUAUUACUCUUGUCCCCUCGUCCAACUCUUAGACUCCCAUAAUUAACCCAGAGGAAGUUGUAAGUGAAAUAAUUAUGAAGUCCUUUCAAAACUAGACACUUGACACAUCUGUUAUAGAAACCUUAUAAAAAGGAAACUGGAUUCUUGUAAAUUUUAAGAUUAUAUUAAUUCAGACACAAAGACACUCCUAUGACUUUUCACAAAAACACUCAAAUCACAGAGUUUGUUCUGCCUGCCAUUGAGAUGUGGGGGAUUUUGCUGUGUGCACUAAAUUCUCUUCUUCUUCUUUUACUUAUUUACUUAUUUAUUUCCUUCUUCUCCCCAAAGCCCCCCAGUACGUAGUUGUAUGUUUUAGUUGUGAGUCCUUGUUGUGGCAUGUGGGACGCCACCUCAGCAUGGCUUGAUGAGCAGGGCUAUGUUCGCACCCAGGAUCUGAACCGGUGAAGCCCUGGGCUGCCAAAGCAGAGCACGUGAACUUAACCACUCGGCCACAGGGCAACCCCUAAAUUCUCUUCUUUAACUGCCCAUGUCACGAGAGCACAAGACUAGAAUGAAGACAAGCACGGGAGACCAAGGUUGAGAGUUUAUUGAACAUGAAGGUCUCAUCCACAUUCGAAAGCACAAUCCCGGUGUCCAGCUUCUGCAGGAGGAAGUACAGAAGCUCUGAGAUUAGGCCACACAGGGUCGAAACCUGCUUCUGCCGCUGACUGGCUUUCUGUCCUUCAUCAGGUCAUUUAACCUCUAAAUGUUGCCAACGCCAUUCUACGUGAAUGAAGGUGUCUGGAGUGCUUGCACCCAGAGAAGGUUGUGAGAUCGUUGUCAUCACCCAGACAUGGUAGCAGACACCUGCACUCGCACUCAGAUGAAUCUGGGGCUGGCCUGGGACGUUGACACAGACAUCUGGUUGCAGCUGAAAGACAUCGUCCCUCACCUUAAAUUAAGGACGUUAACGUGAAAUUGACUGGUCUUGUAAUUUUGUUUGUACUUGAUUUUUAAGUUUGUUUUGGUUUUAGAGUUGUGUAAGAGCUAAAAGAAUAAGGAAGUUUUACCAGGAUGUCUGUUUGUAAAUAUUUAAUUUAUGUUUGAAUAAAAGUAAUUCAAGUGACACUAGA